GACGAACGCUGGCGGCGUGCUUAACACAUGCAAGUCGAACGGAAAGGCCCUGCUUUUGUGGGGUGCUCGAGUGGCGAACGGGUGAGUAACACGUUAGUAACCUGCCCUUGACUUUGGUAUAACUUCAGGAAACUGGGGCUAAUACCGGAUAGGAGCUCCUGCUGCAUGGUGGGGGUUGGAAAGUUUCGGCGGUUGGGGAUGGACUCGCGGCUUAUCAGCUUGUUGGUGGGGUAGUGGCUUACCAAGGCUUUGACGGGUAGCCGGCCUGAGAGGGUGACCGGCCACAUUGGGAAUGAGAUACGGCCCAGACUCAUACGGGAGGCAGCAGUGGGGAAUAUUGCACAAUGGGCGGAAGCCUGAUGCAGCAACGCCGCGUGCGGGAUGACGGCCUUCGGGUUGUAAACCGCUUUCGCCUGUGACGAAGCGUGAGUGACGGUAAUGGGUAAAGAAGCACCGGCUAACUACGUG
rnacentral:rRNA from 1 species